rnacentral:lncRNA from 1 species
UGUUUGGGUGUAUAUUUUGUCUUUAAAACGUACAAAGCAAGAGUAUUUUAUAUAGCAUCUCGCUUCAGAUUCUAUCAUUAUUAUAUAUCAAAGCUACAGGUUGACUUUAUAACGUAAAAAAUGACAGUACGAAAAGAUGAAAUAUAUGGGUCAAGUGAGAUACCUAUCUAAUGAAUCACAAAAACAGAGUAGGUGUGUUCGAAUAGCUAUUUUUUUCUAAAAGUACUUGACGACAGUCUUUUAAUUUGGAUGAUGAAAAUGGAUAUCUUCGAAAAAAUAUGAUUUUCUUGUGUGUGAUAACUAGGGUUUAUAAUCUUCAACCACUAAAAUUGUUUAGUCUGCCCUUCCACAAAAUAUUUAAUUAGAAUUUUUUUUAAAUGCUUAAGAAUUUUCAAAAUUCCAUCUGACAUCCGAACAGACAAUAUUUUUAAGUUGAAUCAAUGCAGACAAGAUCAUUAACUAAUGCUCAUUAGCUAGUAGAUACAUUUGUCUUUUAAAAUAUAACUGACAUAUAACGAUCGAUCGUAAUGGUGCUAUGUGGAUAAAUUUAUCAGUUUUCAAGAGCAAAAUUGGCAGAGCGUCAUCCCUACAAUGGCUGCCAUUUCUACGAUUGUGAGCAUGAACUGGCGUAAUGGGGACAUAAUUUUGAAGAAGAAGAAUCCUGACUGUAUGAAUAACAUUUCUGUAUACAUUGUAUAUACAAAUUGACAACGUUCCGCCUUGUGAUACGCUUUUCGUACAAUACUAUUUUAAGGAUCUACUUUGCUGGAGCUCACCUCUACUAGUUUAUUCGAAUGAUAUUUUCAAAAUAUUUCUGUUAUUUUAUUUGCAC